UAACCCUAUCAAAAUUCAACAACCAAUAGAAUGCCAGCUGUAGUGUUGACCAAUGAAAUGAUCCCUGCCCCGUUGAAGAUGCGUUCAAUUUACGUUAGAACGUCUGUUGAGGGCGGCUGCUCUGUAACCAAGUUUAGCUAUGUAGCUACCCCCGCGCCGUCCAUUGCUUUAUUAUAAGUAUAUGUCAACAAUGUGCACAGAGUGGUCGAUGCACUUUCACCUGCACCCAUCAGGAAACUGGAGAAAGUCCACAACUACGAGGGUGUGACUGAAGUAUCCCUGUUGAGCUGCAUCACAGCACACUGGUCUAUGCACUAUGUGCAUGUAUGUUUCUUGCUUAAAUCCACACACAACCAGGCCUGGGAGAGAAAAUUACUGAUAUCCACAAAACCAAAUCAGACAAGGAGCAUACUAUAUAAAGACAACAGUGGAGAGUUGCUGGAUCUGUCUGUCCUCAAAGUGCCAGAGAUCUACAAGGACUUCACACGUUUCUACACCAUCAACUGCGUAAUCAAAGUGAUAAAAGAGAGAACAAACUAUUGUUUUAUCUGUUGACAUGAAUAGGUGCCUGUAAUGUCUGCCAAUAUAUUCAAUCAA